GGACAGAACAAUAUAGCCAAUAUAUUCAAAUUGUAAAUCACAUGAAUGUAAAUAGCAUGACCAACAUGAAUCAAAGCAAACUUUAUUGAUUUCGGAUAAUGAUUGAUGUUCGAAAACUCACAAGAAAAGCAAAUAUCAAAUGCACGUGAUAUGAUACAUUGAGACGAAAUACAAAAGGAAAAGUCAAUACCUUUCUUCAGCCAGCGAAAUGAGACCAAACGAGUAGGGACGAGCUCUUCCACCAUACGAGUUUGAAUCUCGAGCAGCUGACCACGAAAUGCAAACCAGACUCGAAUAAAGGUUCUCUCACAACUUAGGAUUAAAGAAAACGUAUAAAAGUUCUUGAAUAUAAAUAUGACUGUUCAAAAGAAAUCCCAACUGUAAACUUCAACACUUUUUUCCCCCAACUCACUCUAACUAUCCCCAAUCUUUUUUCCUCAACC
rnacentral:misc_RNA from 1 species